AACAAAUUCUGAUGGACCCAAUGCCCAAUUGUUUGAGCCCAAACAAACCAAAAUAAAACUUGUUAGCCAACACUAUUCUCCCCAAAAUCAGAAAAUAAGACACAAAUUAAAAGAAAAGAAAUUAACUUCAUCUCCUUCCUCCUCCAUACGUGUAAGGACAAGAAUGGAGAUUGCUCAACAAAGUCAAAAACCACCUCAGUAUACUUAAUCAUCUAGAAAUCCAUUGAAAUUUCACUCUCUCAAUCACACUUAAGCCACCGGAUUCUCCUCAAAACCCCUAAAUUUAGCCACUUGAUUUCUUGAAUUCCAUGGACUCAAAUGGUUUGAGGAUUUUAAAAUUCUGAAAAUCAUCUACUGAGAUGGAGAUUUAUCUAUAAAUAGGGAAGAAUGGAUGAGUUUUUCAAUCACAAAAUCAACAACACAAAUUCAGAAAACAAUUGAAAUAAUCUGAAAUUUUCAAUCUCCACUUUCCUCUGUUUUCGGCCUCCAAUAGACCACCACAACACAACCACUCUACUACCACCUAUGAGCACCACUGCUCCGCCAUCCAACUAUCACCGGAGAACCACCCAGCCGCACCACUAGCACCCACGAUUUCCCUUCCUCACUUGCAUCUCCCUCGUCUCCUUCGAACCCCCUGCACACCCAUUCUUUCUCCUCCCUCGCGAGAUGCACAUCACCACCACACAUCAACCAUCCGCCUUCUGUCGCCCUUCGCUGCCGCAAACCGCCGCCCCUCGCCGGUCCUCCUGCCGCGACGUUAAAGCCCCCGUCUCUCUAUCCUGCUUGUGUGUGUCUUGUGUGGAACUCGUUCCUCGGAGCUCAACAAGGACAAUAUCAAGGACAUAAGAAGAAGGUUAUUAUACUGCAACUGAGGGCACUGGCUGUAGGGCAACGCCUGGGGCACAUGCCCUUGCACAGUGGUGCAUACACAUGGCUGGGAGACGUCCUAGAGCCGACUGAUUUUGCAGCAACCAGAGUAAACAUGUGUAAAAAGGAUCUGUGGAUGUGAUAUAAAAUAUUAUUUACUGUUUUCAUAAAUGUUUGAAAUAUUCUUUCCCUCUAUUUGCAAAUAAAAAGAAUUAAAAUGAAUCUACGUUGCUAGAGUAGCUUGUUACUAAGCCUCGGCUCAUAACGUUUUGUAUUUAUGUUUUAGGUACUGCAUAGUGGCAAGGAUUACCACCUUGUUAAAUCAUCUAGUAAUAGUGCUACUAACUUGUAAGAUUAACUUAACUAGAAUGUAAGAUUGUAUACUUUAAUAUAAGUUAUCGUUGUUAUAUCAAGUAACGUUAACGUUGUCUGCUUUAAUAUAAUAUAAGAUGUUUAAGUUGUCACUAUUAUAAUGUUUAAAUAUGUUUUAUGAUUGU